rnacentral:rRNA from 1 species
CUACGGGAUGCAGCAGUGGGGAAUAUUGCACAAUGGACGAAAGUCUGAUGCAGCAACGCCGCGUGGAGGAUGACACAUUUCGGUGCGUAAACUCCUUUUAUAUAAGAAGAUAAUGACGGUACUAUAUGAAUAAGCACCGGCUAACUCCGUGCCAGCAGCCGCGGUAAUACGGAGGGUGCAAGCGUUACUCGGAAUCACUGGGCGUAAAGAGCGUGUAGGCGGGUUAAUAAGUUGGAAGUGAAAUCCUAUGGCUCAACCAUAGAACUGCUUCCAAAACUGUUAACCUAGAAUAUGGGAGAGGUAGAUGGAAUUUCUGGUGUAGGGGUAAAAUCCGUAGAGAUCAGAAGGAAUACCGAUUGCGAAGGCGAUCUACUGGAACAUUAUUGACGCUGAGACGCGAAAGCGUGGGGAGCAAACAGGAUUAGAUACCCCUGUAGUC